rnacentral:tRNA from 1 species
GCCGAGAUAGCUCAGCUGGGAGAGCAACAGACUGAAGUCCAUAGCGUCCGGACCGAUUUCUGGAGGUCGGGUGUUCAAUCCACCCUCUUGGCA